GGGCCUGUAGCUCAGCUGGUUAGAGCGCACGCCUGAUAAGCGUGAGGUCGGAGGUUCAAGUCCUCCCAGGCCCACCA
rnacentral:tRNA from 3 species